UACGGAAGGUCCGGGCGUUAUCCGGAUUUAUUGGGUUUAAAGGGAGCGCAGGCCGCCCCUUAAGCGUGACGUGAAAUAUGGUGGCUCAACCAUCGGACUGCGUCGCGAACUGGGGGGCUUGAGUGGGGACGAGGUAUGCGGAAUUCGUGGUGUAGCGGUGAAAUGCUUAGAUAUCACGAAGAACUCCGAUUGCGAAGGCAGCAUGCCAGGCCCUUACUGACGCUAAUGCUCGAAGGUGCGGGUAU
rnacentral:rRNA from 1 species